GUNUUAAAGAAAUUUAAUUUUAAGUNUAAUNNGCCCACUGAAAAUUUUUUAAAUGGCUGUAAUAUCUUAAUUACACUAAGGUAGCAUAAUAAUUUGUUUUUUAAUUAAAAACUAGAAUGAAAGAUUUAAUGAAAUAAAUACUGUUUCUAUUAAAAUUUAAUUGAAUUUUUUAUUUAAGUAAAAAAACUUAAAUAUUUUAUAUAGACGAUAAGACCCUAUAGAAUUUUAUUUAUUUUUUUAAAUUUUUUUUUUAAAAAUAAAUUUAAUUGGGGUAAUUAAAAAAUUUAAUAAAUUUUUUUUAAAAUAAACAUAAAUUUAUGAUUAUUAUAUCUUAAUUUUUAAAUUAAAAAAAUUAAUUACCUUAGGGAUAACAGCAUAAUUUUUUUUGAUAGUUCAUAUAUAUAAAAAANAUUAU
rnacentral:rRNA from 1 species